CCUCCGCUCUCUCUCACACAGCAAACCCCUCUCUCUCUCGCACAGCUAACCCUAGCGAUCCACCUCUCCCCUCCCCUCGCGCAGCCGCCACCACGCGUUCUUCCUGUCCCGAUUCCCACCCACAUCGCCGCCGCUGCCGCCGGCCUACGCCCUCCCCCCACACCGCCGCCGUGAAACCCCCUCCUCACCUUCUCUCCCCGGUCGAGCAGCAGCAGGUCAGGCGGAGGCGGCAGCCAGAUCCACCACAUUGCUUCCGGAUCCGCGCCCUCCCCACCCCCGAUUCAUCUCCAAUCCCGCCGCCGACACCCAACCCCACCCCCACCGGCGACCUCCCCUAACCCCAUCACCAUUGGCGACCUCCCUCCCUUGCUCCUCGACCCAACCCAACCCCUAUUCGAUUCAGUUCAGAGACGAAUCCCCUCCCACAUCACCGCCGCCGCCACACACUGCCGAUCCCCUCACAUCCGGCCGGUGGCCAUGGCCUCCGGUAUCUCCUCGACAGCCGCCACUCCCGUACCCUCUCCAGUCCCCUCCCCUCCCCUGCCCUCACCAGAAGAGGAAGAGAAGAGGGUCAGGCAGAUCAGGCGGCCGCCAUGGCGCGACCAGAUCCGCCACGGUUGCCCCGCGCGUUGUCCACGGGCUCGACUCCAGGGACUGGGUCAUGGUCUGUGAGGCCCUCAACGACGCGCGCCGCCUCGCUAUCCACCACCCCGCCCUCCUCGUCCCCAUCAUGGAGAAGGCGGUGCUGAUUGGCAGGGUGAAGGCGGUUGCUGAUUGGCAGGGUGAAGAACCCGCGCAGCGCCGUGCUCAAGACCUCCAUGAUGGCGUGCACGGAUAUCUUCACGGCCUUCGGCAACCUCUCCUUGAGCAGCAGCUGUAGCAGCAGCUUGUCCAAGCCGAUGCAGUUGGAGUUCAUAUAUAUUUCUCCAAAAAUUAUACUCUCACUGUGUAGAAUCUUUUGGGCCAGAAUCAUUGGUUGAGUUUAGGUCAAAAGCAUCUGUAUGCCAAUAGUUUUGAUGUUUUUUUGUGCUAUAUACUUCAGGGAAUAGUUAACUCAUUAAUUAAGAUGCCGAGGUACUAUCAACUAGAUCUGUUCACACACAUACUUUAGUAACCAGCUCCAUUUAUCAUCUGAUCAGCUAUGUAAACUAAUCACUGAACCUGGAAAUUAUGUGCUUUGAUAGAACACGGAAACUAAUCAAAUGCAGAAGAGUUGUUUCAGUUUGAGUUCUGUUUGAAAUGUUGCAACUUCAGAAUUCUGGGAACUUUCCAUAAAGUUUGCAUCAGUUUAGUGGGUUCACCUAUAUUAUGUUGUUGGAAGCUAGUUCAUGAUGAACUGAUUUAACUCUCUACUGGAAUAUUAUUGUUUUAUUUAUGGGAGGAAUAUAGUGUAUUAGUUGAUGUAAAUUUGUUUGGGUUCAGACCUAUGCUUCCUCCAUUGUUUUGUAGAGUUGGCUAAUUUUAGAUGCUGCAUAAUAACCUUUAAGGCCGUGGCCAAUUUUAGAUGUUGCAUAAUAAUCUUUGUAUUGCAAAAUAAAAAUUGUACCGAAGAUGAAUGGUCGAUUAGUUUUAGCUUCAAGCCAUUUUAGUAUAUUCUUUGUACAUGUGGCCUGUGGCUAUAACUAGUUUGCUGUAGUUCAUCCGUGAUGUCCAGUAGCUAUGAGAUCUGAGGGAUGCCGACCAUUCGAGCCACUUAACUUAUUCAGCUUUCACUCUACAAUCUUGCUAAUUUAAAGUCACCAGGGGGCUUUCCCCCACUGUCCAUCGUUCCUAAAAAAACUUAUUCAGCUUUGGCGAUCCUCAUUUGCUAUGCUAGGUAUAAUGUAAACUCUCUUCUGAUGUUGAUUUGUACCAGUUUGACUUUCCUAAGUUUCUUUUCUUGUUAGCAGAGCUUACACUAUCUUUCUAUAGGCGCCGCCGGAUUCGAGGGUGGGGCCCGAGCCUCCACUGGAGCAUGGAUCAGCCGUGCAGGAGGUGGAGCUCCGCAUGGAUCACGACUUGGUCGUUGUGGGGGCCUGGACCAUCAAGCUCGCGGGCGAGAUGGACGGCCUCGGCAACGGAGGCGCGCGUGAGAUCCUGGGGUUGACCAAUCCACGGGGUGCCAGAUCUUCCCUCGGGGUCGCCUGAUGUAGCCAUACUGUCGCCGGAUCACCUCCCCCUCUCUCUGUGUGUGUUUUUCUGUCAAUAGCUAGUAGCAUAAGUUGGAGCUGGUUGUACCAGGAACUUAAUCUGCAUUUAUUCAACUAGAUCAAGUACAAGUACAUUAGUUCGUAAUCUGCUAUUAAUACAUCUCCUAUUCAUAAAUUUCCUGAAGUAGUGCAUGUAUAUAUUUAGGUGCUGGUUAAUUAGAAAAUGGAUGUGAUUUCUAACUUGAUUGCUGUAGGCUACAAGAUAUAUCUCUGUUGGUUCAUCUUGCUGUAGAAUAUGCCCCUGUUCAUUCAUUUAUGUGUAUUGCUAUUUACCUCUGGUGACAUGUGAGAAGCACUCAUCUAUAUGUUUAUAUUUUGAGCAGCUGGGUACAACUACAGUUGCAGAAUCAUCCAACCAAAUUUUGGGAGGAUGGCAUAAAAGAUUAGAUAACCCAUGCUUUUGAAAUCAUGGUAUUCUAUUUAUGCUCCAUCCCGAAAUCUAUUGUGCACUGCCAAGUCCAUGAGGCGAAGCGCUCACUGCUCGACCAUUUCUUUACUGAAUUGGGAGCAACAGAGGCAAGAUAUUCGAAACAAGUUGAAGUCCUUUCGAUUCUUGAUUUCUAGCAUACACAUGCAACCUGAUUGGUGAUGUUACUGUAGAUAUGAUGUAGGUUCGGUGCUUACUAUUUUUUGAUUUGAUGCAUGUUACCUUCAUUUCUGUCUAUGCCUUGUUUAGUGUUUUGCCAGCUAACUAGUCUAUUGGUCGUUUUGAAAUAUGAAGAUGCUGCAUGUAAGCACUAUUGCUGGCAAUUUGGCACAUCAUAUUAGUCUUAUCCCAUGUUUUGUCACUAGCAUACACUACAAUCCCUUGUUCUGUCACUAGCAUACACUAUAGUUUUAUUAAAAGGGGGGCAUAUCAUUUUCUCUAUAUAAUAGUGCUGAUUUUGCGCUGAUAUGAACUUACAACAGUAUUACAUUGUAGUGUUUUUUGCAUGUUGUUGUAUCACUAGUUUCAUGCUGCCUUCACAUUUGAACCUAUUACUUGUUUUUGUUUUUAUCCUUGAUUAGUAUCAAUUGUUGUAUUGUAGACUUAAAAUUGUGGUGGUUCCUCCUUUACAGAAGCUCAAGUGUGAAGUUGUGAAGUGUGAAGCAAGUGUGAAGCCGUGAAGUCCAACUCAUUGUAGCAUAUCUGUGUUGUAAAGAUUGUAAUCGAUUUAUUUAGUGGUAUAUUUGAUGAAUUUUAUGUGUUCUUUGUUCUAUUUGAACUAUUGAUUAUGUAUGUGAUUUGAAAACUUGUGAAAUGGAAACCUGUCCAGUGGGGCCACUUAUGAAAA